rnacentral:rRNA from 1 species
GACAGAGGGUGCAAACGUUGUCCGGAUUUAUUGGGCGUAAAGAGCUCGUAGGCGGUUCAGUAAGUCAGGUGUGAAAUCUUUGGGCUUAACCCAAAGCGUGCACUUGAUACUGCUGUGACUUGAGUUCGGUAGGGGAGUGGGGAAUUCCUAGUGUAGCGGUGAAAUGCGCAGAUAUUAGGAGGAACACCGGUGGCGAAGGCGCCACUCUGGGCCGAAACUGACGCUGAGGAGCGAAAGCGUGGGGAGCGAACAGG